rnacentral:misc_RNA from 1 species
UGAUAAUCAAAUCAUUUACUCAACACAAAAAGCUAUUAUCAGUUACUUCAAAAUUACAUGUGUGGACUUGUUUGAACCUCGAAAAGUCUAAAUACUAAACUUAUGUAAAAAUAUUCAAACACCAUUCAUUCAUUCAUACUUGUUAUGCCUAGUUGAAAACAGGACAUCCUUGUACUAUAAUCCCAGGAGCUGUUGGACAAGUUGCUAAGGGACAAUGAUCCAACUCUGUUCCCCACCAUUUCAAGUUCUUCCCCUCGUUUUGCAACGCGAAAAACAGUAAAACACCCAUGAAAGCUGUUCCAGCAUCCAACGCAGCUGACAGAACGUAGUUGUAUUUCUUCCACCACUCUUUUCUGUAUUUGAACACGAAAUAGUUGAAUAUCAUACCUGUUAUAAGCCAGCUAGCUAUAUUUGUUGGUGUUGCUGGUGGCAUUCCCGCGAAACCAUAUGAUAUAACAGGUAUGUUGAUCAAGGGAAUCCAUUUCUUUUCCGGGAACAUUUUGCUUAGCACCCAAAUAGGCACCGGUAGCAAUGCACCUAUGAGGAAUAACCAUACCAAAUUCCUAUAUAAUCCUCCCGGACCAAAUAACCGUUCUGGUCCAAUUAGACCCCAUAUCACAGAUGCAUCAAAUGUCACUCGGAAUUUAGGACAGGUCCAUGGGCUGUCCGGAUGAAGAGCUUCAACGUCACAAAUGUUAUCGAUGCUUCCUAGCAUCCACCAUGCUACAGCAAGGUUGAUUGUACCAGCAACCAGUGUUCCCACGAGCUGAGCUGUGUACAUGCAUCGUGGCGGAAUUUUCAUGUAGUGACCAAGUUUAAGAUCAGCUAAAAAGGAGAGAGCAUGAACAGUACUAGUCCGGCCAUAGAUUUUGAAAAGCAAAUUCGCAAUUGGUUUUCCUGGGAGGAUAUAACCAAUUAUGAACUGUGCAAUUAUGUCAUAUCCGGGUUGCUGAUUAGUAGUCGCUUGAAUGACUCCUAUAGGGAGAGUAACAAUAAAAGCAAGACCAAAUGCAAACAACAAGCCCCACCACGGCAGCUGCACGUCUUCUUUCCACACGAAACACAUCAGAAGUGAUAGGGCUAUGCUACCUACCAAUAACGCGAGAAACCACCACUGAGGGACUUGCUUGUAACUCUUCAUCAAUUUUGCAUGAAUAUCCAUUUUGACAUUCUUCACCGCUGAUCUACUUUGCUUCCAAAUAUCACUUCCAUGAAAUAGCGCAACAUGUGUGAGGGUAGCUGUAAACCUUGCAAAUCCCGAUCCGAUUGAGAGGGCAAACAAAGGACUGAGGUAGAGCUUGCUGUACUUCUCAUAAGCAGCAAUAUUGAGAUCGAAUUGUGGAGUCAAGAUUUUAGUGGUGUCGUAUUUGUGGCCGCUAGCUGUGAACAACUGAUUUGAAAAGAUAGGAAACUUUUGAGCAUCAAAAGUGUUGUACUUCCAGUAACAUAGAGGAAUAAUGAUGUAUAUGAACAUGAUAAAUCCAACGGCAACAUUUAGAAUCGAGGACCACGGUGUCACUAGUGGACUGCCAUGAUAAGCUGAUAUGCCAGCCCAAUCAAGGGUAAAAGCACCCACACCGAGGCCAUGAUAUCCCGAGCCAAUUUGUUGAGCUGUGAUACUAUGUGGAUACGCCCAACAGACCCAUGAGAAGAAGGUCAAAAUUGGGAAUAGAUAGCCUGGGAGAGCGUAGUAUGCAAAGCUUGCAGCCAUAAAUAUAAGGAAAAACUUCAUCCUUGUGAAGCCUCUUGUUUUUGGUUCCUUUUCGUGAAGUGCCCUGAAUAGAGAAACUUGAGCAAGGUUUGAAGGCCACCACAUAUCGACAGGGUCAACGAGGUAUCUCCUCAACAUUCCCGCCCAUCCAUACCCCAAUAUCUGAGUAGUCAAGACGAUAAUAAGAGAACAGAGGAAGCUGACACUCUGAUUAUAAUAAGCCCUCAUAACAGUAAUAGCUCCAAUUGAAUAAGCAUCACCACCCCCAAUUGAAACUCCACAAUUCGCCAUAACUGUAAUAACAACGUGCUCUUUGAUAUUAAACGGCCCCGGAUUCAAACUGAACGAACCCCAUCUACCGAAUAUAGCAAAGCUCUUCUUCGGAAGUGUAGCAGCCAUGAAUUUCCCAAUUGGAAGAACAGCAAUUUGCAUCAAAAUUGCUGAAAUUGUUAAUGGCUGAGUUCUGUAAAUGAAAAAAGUGUUUAGGAAAAUCAAGAUAGUGCAAGAUGAGAGUCCCAGAAACCAUGCCCGGAAUGUCAUUACAGGUAAACUCGGGUCAUCGGUUUCUGGGACUACCAAAGCUACCUCCUCCACCGAACAUCUCUCAUCGUUGGUGGAGGAUGCAUCUCCGUUAAGCUUGCCUCCUCCGCCGCCGCCAUCGGCGGAGGAGAGCGGUGGUGGUUGGACGGAGCUUUUGGUGGACAUUGG